rnacentral:rRNA from 1 species
UACGGAGGGUGCAAGCGUUAUCCGGAUUUACUGGGUUUAAAGGGUGCGUAGGCGGGUAAGUAAGUCCGUGGUGAAAUCUCUGAGCUUAACUCAGAAACUGCCGUGGAUACUAUUUGCCUUGAAUAUUGUGGAGGUGAGCGGAAUAUGUCAUGUAGCGGUGAAAUGCUUAGAUAUGACAUAGAACACCAAUUGCGAAGGCAGCUCACUACUCAAUCAUUGACGCUGAGGCACGAAAGCGUGGGGGAUCAAACAGG